GACGAACGCUGGCGGCGUGCCUAAUACAUGCGAGUCGAACGAACGGAUUGAGGAGCUUGCUCUUCAUGAAGUUAGUGGCGAACGGGUGAGUAACGCGUGAGAAACCUGCCUUUCAGUGGGGGACAACAGUUGGAAACGACUGCUAAUACCGCAUAAUGUUAUUUGAGGGCAUCCUCGGGUAACCAAAGCUUUAUGUGCUGAAAGAUGGUCUCGCGUCUGAUUAGCUAGUUGGCGGGGUAACGGCCCACCAAGGCGACGAUCAGUAGCCGGUCUGAGAGGAUGAACGGCCACAUUGGGACUGAGAUACGGCCCAG
rnacentral:rRNA from 1 species